ACCAAAAUUGUAGUUAAAUAGUAGUAAUAAAUUAAGUCACAUUGGAAAUGCUUAUCUCUAAACAGAGAUUUCUUCCAGCUUCCCAUUCGAGGUGGUGAGUAAGGCGUAUUAAUAAGUGGAAUAGGUCUACGACUAUAAUCUAA